rnacentral:rRNA from 1 species
UACGUAGGGUGCAAGCGUUGUCCGGAAUUAUUGGGCGUAAAGAGCUUGUAGGCGGUUUGUCGCGUCUGCUGUGAAAUUUCGGGGCUCAACCCCGAACUUGCAGUGGGUACGGGCAGGCUAGAGUUCGGUAGGGGAGACUGGAAUUCCUGGUGUAGCGGUGAAAUGCGCAGAUAUCAGGAGGAACACCGGUGGCGAAGGCGGGUCUCUGGGCCGAUACUGACGCUGAGGAGCGAAAGCGUGGGGAGCGAACAGG